rnacentral:rRNA from 1 species
UACGGAGGGUGCAAGCGUUAUCCGGAUUCACUGGGUUUAAAGGGUGCGUAGGCGGACUGGUAAGUCAGUGGUGAAAUCCCCGAGCUUAACUUGGGAACUGCCGUUGAUACUAUCAGUCUUGAAUACCGUGGAGGUGAGCGGAAUAUGUCAUGUAGCGGUGAAAUGCUUAGAUAUGACAUAGAACACCAAUUGCGAAGGCAGCUCGCUACACGAAUAUUGACGCUGAGGCACGAAAGCGUGGGGAUCAAACAGG